UACAGAGGGGGCAAGCGUUAUUCGGAAUUAUUGGGCGUAAAGGGCGCGUAGGCGGCCUGGCAAGUGGAAGGUGAAAUCCCUCGGCUUAACCGAGGAACUGCCCUCCAAACUGCUUGGCUUGAGUCCGGGAGAGGUGAGUGGAAUUCCCAGUGUAGCGGUGAAAUGCGUAGAUAUUGGGAGGAACACCAGUGGCGAAGGCGGGUCACUGGACCGGAACUGACGCUGAGACGCGAAAGCGUGGGGAGCAAACAGG
rnacentral:rRNA from 1 species